rnacentral:rRNA from 1 species
GCUAUAGGGUUGGCCGAUGGCUGAUUAGCUAGUUGGUGGGGUAAAGGCCUACCAAGGCGACGAUCAGUAGCUGGUCUGAGAGGACGACCAGCCACACUGGGACUGAGACACGGCCCAGACUCCUACGGGAGGCAGCAGUGGGGAAUUUUGGACAAUGGGCGAAAGCCUGAUCCAGCAAUGCCGCGUGUGUGAAGAAGGCCUUCGGGUUGUAAAGCACUUUUGUCCGGAAAGAAAUCCUUGGUCCUAAUAUGGCCGGGGGAUGACGGUACCGGAAGAAUAAGCACCGGCUAACUACGUGCCAGCAGCCGCGGUAAUACGUAGGGUGCAAGCGUUAAUCGGAAUUACUGGGCGUAAAGCGUGCGCAGGCGGUUUGCUAAGACCGAUGUGAAAUCCCCGGGCUCAACCUGGGAACUGCAUUGGUGACUGGCAGGCUAGAGUAUGGCAGAGGGGGGUAGAAUUCCACGUGUAGCAGUGAAAUGCGUAGAGAUGUGGAGGAAUACCGAUGGCGAAGGCAGCCCCC